AGCAUCCACAUGCCCUGGGCUCCUGAGCAGUUCCCCCAACAAGGAGACCUUGGCACACACCUGGGGUGGUUGGGAAUGUCACCCUGGGCCGGCUGCUUAACGGAUGUCCCCGAGAUGUCCCUAAUAAAAAAUCCAUAAGCCUCUUGUAAAGGCAAUUCCCCUUCUGGAAGGUGGCGAGGGGGGGACAAUACGUGACCAAACAAGUCACCCAAAGGCGUUGGAAGAGGAAGAGUUGGUUUCCAACGGGUGGGACCAGCCCCUUCCCUCCAUCACGGACUCCUCUCAGCAGCUCCGUGAAGUGUCCCCAGCGAUUUAGGUCCCCUCGGGAAAGAGCAGGUUGACUCUCCUCGGCGUCGAGGGCUUGGGAGGGCCACCAAGUGUCACACAGGAGAAUUUGGGGACCAUCUCUGGGCAGUUUCAUGUGGGUUUUUCCCUGUUUUUUAGGGUUUUUAAAGCCGCUUUAGGAGUUGCAUCCUCAUCUCCCAACGGGAGAGAAGAAGGGGAAAGACUUGGCUCUUGGAAUCACCCUCCCCGUGCUCUGCUUCUUGUAGAUUUGAUGCUCACCUGAUAAAUUAGGCUGCCCCACGUCCGUGGCAUCUUUGCUGAGAGGAUGGGAGGUGGUGGGGGUACUCCAGACACCAAAGCCCCCCCUGGGGAGGAGCAGUGUGGGGCAGGAGGGCGUUAGGAAGCUCUGGGCUGCCCCAAAUCCCCACCACGGGGAGGGUGGAGGGAGAGGUGGGUGAUGGAGCCAGGGGGGUGACCAGGUUUGGUCAAAGCAGCGUGUGACCCCCCCCAGGGUGACAGACCCUCUCGUGUCCCCCCGUUUGCAGCAUGUGGAAGGUCUGAGCCAUCUCCCACCUUCUCUGGGACACCAUGGACACGGAAGCCGUGCAGCCCCAGGAGGCUCCGCUGACGGUCAACGAGCAGGUUAUUGUCAUGUCCAGCCACGAAACCAUCCGGGUGCUGGAGGUCGGCGUGGACGCCCCGCUCCCGGCCGAGGAGGACCGGAAAGCCCCGGGGAUGCCACCAGGGGAGGUAGCACGGGGCUCCCCGGGAGAAACCACCCCCCCGGGCACAGAGGACAUCCCACCCAGCACCCAGAGCUCCUGCAGUGUGGAGACGGCCGGAAAAGCCAAAGUGGCCACCGGAGCGUCCCCCAGCACCGUCUCCCCCCUUGGCACCUUCGGCCACUCCACUAGCCAACAGCCCCAGACGGUGGCCACCCCCCUGGCCGUGCAGGCCACCCCACAGGUAACUACCCCCCUGGCCAACGGAGUGGGAUGGGAGGUGGGGUGGAGGUGGNNNNNNNNNNACUUUAUGCUCCGCUGAUGCUGUUUUGUGCAGUGGCGUUGAUUUCUGUUCUUUUUUAAAUCUUGUUUGCUUUUGCAGGUCUUGACUCAGGAAAACUUAGCAACAGUUGUGACAGGAGUAAUGGUUCCCGCAGGGACAGUUACUCAACCUCUUCUUAUCCCCAUCAGUAUUGCAGGUCAAGUGGCCGGUCAGCAGGGGCUGGCUGUGUGGACAUUUCCUACAGCAACCGUCGCUGCCCUCCCCGGAUUGACGGCUCCUUCUCCUACGGGGGGAAUUUUCAAACAGCCCAUAGCCAAUCUGCAAGGUAAACCCACCCCCCCCCCCCCCCACCACGGCUGCUCUUCGGCCUCGCAGCCUCCUCGAUUCAUCAUCCUCCUCCUCCCCCUUUUAUUUCCCCGUCCCUCGCCCUGGUGCGACUCGAUCUGUGCCCAGUCCAGGCUCCCCUUUUCCUGCAGGUCUGAAAUGGGCAGAAAUUUAAGGAAGGGGGGGUUGGUUUGUGGGAAAAAAGUCCAAGCUUCCCUUUUUCUGUAGGAAGGGUCUGAAACAGCCAGAAAUUUGAGGAAGGGGGAGNNNNNNNNNNGAAGAAUCCCGGCUCCCCUUUUUCUGCAGAAAGGGUCUGAAACAAAAAUUGGAGGAGGGGGGGGGGUGUUGGUCUGUGGGAGAAGAAUCCAGUCUCCCCUUUUUCUGCUGAAAGGGUCUGAAAGGGCCAGAAAUUCAAGGAAGGGGGUUUUUUGGGGGCUUGGUUUGUGGGAGAAGAAUCCAGGCUCCCCUUUUUCUGCAGGUCUGAAAUGGCCAGAAAUUCAAGGAAGGGUGUGUUUUGGGGGGGAUGGGUUUGUGGGAAAAGAAUCCAGGUUCCCCUUUUCCUGCAGGUCUGAAAUGGCCAGAAAUUUGAGGAAAGGGGGGGAAUUGGGGAGGGGGGGGG
rnacentral:lncRNA from 1 species